rnacentral:misc_RNA from 1 species
AUGAGAGUAGAUUAAAUCUGAACUUGCUGCCUAUAUUGAAAACUGUCACACUGAUGAGAGUGAAAAAUUCGUAGAGGAUGGUGGCUGGGAAUUUCGAAUCAUGGAACUUAGUGAUUUGCAAUUUCAAAUUUGACUCAGGAUCUGAAGAAGAAGAUGAUGAUAGUGAGUCACUGCUGGAGUCUGAUGAUGGGGAGAAUGAGGAUUCUGAGAGAGACUCGGGUGUGGAUGAACCGAUGAGGGAGGUAUAAGGAGAGAGCGUAAUUACCUAAGUCGCUUGCCCUUCUCUCUCCCCCCCACCCUUCUCUUUCCCUUCUUCUCUUCCGAACCAUGAACUAGGAUUUGUGUCCCAGAACGCGAUACUCCAGUGUUCCAAAAACACAUGGGAACAUGCCCUGGUUCCCUGAAAUAGGGGUUCCAAACAAGCAGGCAGCAGCAACACAAGAAAGAGAAAGACUAAGAAGGGAAAGCAAAGAAGAAGAAACAAUAAGUAGAUAGCGGCAACUCAAAAGGAGAAAGAAAGGAGGAGGAGGGAUGCAUGCGUAAAUGGCGUUCAAGGACUGCUUUUUUCAUCUCUGCAUUUUAGUGGGUUAGCUGGCACUUGGCAGUAGGUUUGUGUAGAAAAAUGUGAAAUGAAGACCUUGGGAGUCCUUUUUCUUUUUUUCUUGAUCAUUAUAGGUGGCAGUGAAAAUGUGAAAUGUCUUGAAGAAAUGCAAUAAAUAUUUUUAAUUAAUUUAU